UGCGCCAGGCUCCGUGCCAGGUCCUCAGGGUGCCAACUCGAAUACCCCACACUUGCCUUCGCUUAAUCCAUCAUCAGAUACUUAUUGGGAACCAACUAUGAAUCAACUGAUUCUGCUGGAUCUCUGACCUCUAAGAGCUUACAUUCUAGAGGAAGAGACAUAGUCCAAGCCGACAAAUAGGGGAAGAUGAUUUCAGAUGCUGUUUCAUGAAGAUGAUAACUCAAGAUCUCUGACCAAGCCCAGGAGGCAUUUCCAUUGAUUCUUAAUUUUGAGGUUUGCUUCUAUGUCACCCAGGAGGAAGGUCUCACUUGACCAAACCGAAGCUGGGUACAGAAGCAGCAAUUGGGUCUGUUAGCAUCCACAACGUGGCUGGUACCCAAUAGGUCCUCCUUAAGUGUUUUUGGAAUGAAUAGGUUA